rnacentral:rRNA from 1 species
GUGUACGGUCAUAGCGGAGGAGUUUACCCGGUCCCAUCUCGAACCCGGAAGUCAAGCCCUCCUGCGUCUGUUACGGUACUGUGGUGCGAGAGCCCACGGGAAAUAUAGUCACUGUACCCC